rnacentral:rRNA from 1 species
AGUGGAUGGGGAACAACCUAGUUGUGCGUGUGUAAAGGUAGUGCCAAGAAAAGCGGUGAUCAUGAUGAAAAUCAAUUCCCGGUACCCGAAACCGACACAGGUGGGCAAGUAGAGAAUACUAAGGGGCGCGAGGUAACUCUCUCCAAGGAACUCGGCAAAAUGACCCCGUAACUUAGGGAGAAGGGGUGCCACCGAGAGGUGGUCGCAGUGAAGAGGCCCAGGCGACUGUUUAGCAAAAACAUAGGUCUCUGCAAACUCGAAAGAGGAGGUAUAGGGGCUGACGCCUGCCCAGUGCCGGAAGGUUAAAGAAGUUGGUCAGUCUUAGGAUGGAGCUAGCGACUGAAGCCCCGGUGAACGGCGGCCGUAACUAUAACGGUCCUAAGGUAGCGAAAUUCCUUGUCGGGUAAGUUCCGACCCGCACGAAAGGCGUAACGAUCUGGGCGCUGUCUCGGAGAGAGGCUCGGCGAAAUAGGAUUGUCUGUGAAGAUACGGACUACCUGCAUUUGGACAGAAAGACCCUAUGAAGCUUUACUAUAGCUUGGAAUUGUGUUCGGGCUUCCUGUGCGCAGGAUAGGUGGGAGGCGUAGAAGGUAUUCUUGUGGGGAUACUGGAGCCAACGGUGAGAUACCACUCUCAGGAGGCUAGAAUUCUAACUUAAUUAAGGACAGUUUCAGGUGGGUAGUUUGACUGGGGCGGUCGCCUCCAAAAAGGUAACGGAGGCGUACAAAGGUUCCCUCAGACUGGUUGGAAAUCAGUCGCAGAGUGCAAAGGCAGAAGGGAGCUUGACUGCGAGAAGUACAGUUCGAGCAGGGUGGAAACACGGUCUUAGUGAUCCGACGGUGCUGUGUGGAAGGGCCGUCGCUCAACGGAUAAAAGUUACUCUAGGAUAACAGGCUGAUCUCCCCCAAGAGUUCACAUCGACGGGGAGGUUUGGCACCUCGAUGUCGGCUCAUCGCAACCUGGGGCGGAAGUACGUCCCAAGGGUUGGGCUGUUCGCCCAUUAAAGCGGUACGUGAGCUGGGUUCAGAACGUCGUGAGACAGUUCGGUCCAUAUCCGAUGUAGGCGUGAGAAUAUUGAGAGGAGCCUUCCUUAGUACGAGAGGACCGGGAAGGACGCACCGCUGGUGUACCUGUUAUGAUGCCAAUUGUAAACGCAGGGUAGCCAAGUGCGGAGAGGAUAACCGCUGAAAGCAUCUAAGUGGGAAGCCCACCUCAAGAUGAGUAUUCUGGUGUAAGGUCACGGGAAGACGACCCGUAAAUAGGCACGAGGUGGAAGUGCAGAGAUGUAUGAAGCCGAAGUGUACUAAUAGACCGUCGGCUUG